rnacentral:rRNA from 1 species
UAAUACGUAGGUGGCGAGCGUUUCCGGAUUUACUGGGUGUAAAGGGCGUGUAGGCGGGAUUGCAAGUCAGAUGUGAAAUUUAGGGCUUAACUCGUAACCUGCAUUUGAAACUGUAAUUCUUGAGUGUUGGAGAGGCAAGCGGAUUCCCGGUGUAGCGGUGAAAUGCGUAGAUAUCGGGAGGAACAUCGGUGGCGAAGGCGGCUGCUGGACAAUAACUGACGCUGAGGCGCGAAAGCGUGGGGAGCAAACAGGAUUAGAUACCUGGUAGUCCACGCUGUAAACGAUGAAUACUAGGUGUGGGGGGACUGACCCCCUCCGUGCCGAGUUAACACAAUAAGUAUUCCACCUGGGGAGUACGGCCGCAAGGUUGAAACUCAAAGGAUUGACGGGGGCCCGCACAAGCAGUGGAGUAUGUGGUUUAAUUCGAAGCAACGCGAAGAACUUACCAGGGCUUGACAUCCCACUAACGAAGUAGAGAUACAUUAGGUGCCCUUCGGGGAAAUGGAGACAGGUGGUGCAUGGUUGUCGUCAGCUCGUGUCGUGAGAUGUUGGGUUAAGUCCCCAACGAGCGCAACCCCUACGGUUAGUUGCUACGCAAGAGCACUCUAGCCGGACUGCCGUUACAAAACGGAGGAAGGUGGGGACGACGUCAAAUCAUCAUGCCCCUUAUGUCCUGGGCUACCACGUACUACAAUGGCGAUUAACAGAGGGAAGCAAUACAGCGAUGUGGAGCGAAUCCCUAAAAUCGCCCCAGUUCAGAUUGCAGGCUGCAACUCGCCUGCAUGAAGUCGGAAUUGCUAGUAUCGCGGAUCAGCAUGCCGCGGUGAAUACGUUCCCGGGCCUUGCACUCACCGCCCGUAA